rnacentral:rRNA from 1 species
UGGCGGACGGGUGAGUAAUGUCUGGGAAACUGCCUGAUGGAGGGGGAUAACUACUGGAAACGGUAGCUAAUACCGCAUAACGUCGCAAGACCAAAGAGGGGGACCUUCGGGCCUCUUGCCAUCGGAUGUGCCCAGAUGGGAUUAGCUAGUAGGUGGGGUAACGGCUCACCUAGGCGACGAUCCCUAGCUGGUCUGAGAGGAUGACCAGCCGCACUGGAACUGAGACACGGUCCAGACUCCUACGGGAGGCAGCAUG